CCUACGGGAGGCAGCAGUGGGGAAUCUUGCGCAAUGGGCGAAAGCCUGACGCAGCCAUGCCGCGUGAAUGGUGAAGGUCUUAGGAUUGUAAAAUUCUUUCACCGGGGACGAUAAUGACGGUACCCGGAGAAGAAGCCCCGGCUAACUUCGUGCCAGCAGCCGCGGUAAUACGAAGGAGGCUAGCGUUGCUCGGAAUUACUGGGCGUAAAGGGAGCGUAGGCGGAUAGUUUAGUCAGAGGUGAAAGCCCAGGGCUCAACCUUGGAAUUGCCUUUGAUACUGGCUAUCUUGAGUUUGGGAGAGGUGAGUGGAACUCCGAGUGUAGAGGUGAAAUUCGUAGAUAUUCGGAAGAACACCAGUGGCGAAGGCGACUCACUGGCCCAAUACUGACGCUGAGGCUCGAAAGCGUGGGGAGCAAACAGGAUUAGAUACCCUGGUAGUCCACGCCGUAAACGAUGAGUGCUAGUUGUCGGCAUGCAUGCAUGUCGGUGACGCAGCUAACGCAUUAAGCACUCCGCCUGGGGAGUACGGUCGCAAGAUUAAAACUCAAAGAGAGUGCGNGUGAGNGCGACGAGCACAGGAGGAG
rnacentral:rRNA from 1 species